CAUGCAUCACGCAAUUUUUUUUCCUUCUUCUCUUUUCUUUUCUAGGGAAAAGGGGUUCGAGGUUAGACUGGGUUGCCGCUUGCGCUGAGAUCUGGGUCUCAUCAGAUGGAGGCAGCACGGGAUGUCAAGGCGGCACGGCGUAGGAUGCUGUGGCGGCUGCGGAGUGGUCGGUGGGGGGUUGUGAGGCGGGGAGUGCGCGCAGUGGCGGCAGGGGCAGGGUCAGGGUCAGGGGCAAGGUGGAGUAGCGGGGGCAACGACGGGGGUGGGACAGGCGCUAGAACAUGCCGUAACCAAGGACUCGUUACUUAUCACUAGACCCACCGAAUCCAGGAUCUGGACGUUUACGUGGUGGUUUAGGAAAACUUUCACGGUACAUACCACGACCUGGACCUGACUAGGCAUGACCUGAACCUCGUAUACCUCUCUUUAAAGAACCAAGCUCAAGACUCAAGUACGUCUCGUUAUAAUGAGUUAUAAACAGGCUGGGAGUUAUGAUAAAAGUUCAGUUGUCGGUCAUACACUCCUUGUUUGACUUCCAGCAGAACAAGGGAAAGAAAGUGUCCCCGGUAACCUGCUCUUAUUGAGUUGGACAUCCUCCUUCCGAUAGCAUGUUUGGAGGUUAAGUCCUAUAGUUACGUGGUCUGGACAUGUAGGGAAACUACCGCAAACCGUGGAUGUAACAGUAACGACCUAUGCGUAACCCUCAGGAACCUUCCAAAUGGGGACUCCGUGACUGGGAUGUUAAGUGCUCUCCAGAUCAACCGACCAAAGACGUUCAGCAGGAGUAGUUUCCAAACGACAUGAGGGACCCGUCACCACUUCGCGGUAACGAUCUGUAACACCGCAUACGACCCAUACCUAAACGACCGUGUAGAGAACGCUACGACCGGGCGUAGAAGACCUCGAUGAAUAUGAUGAAGUAGUACGGUACCAAGACAGAGACGUGACCGCACAAGGAGCACUUCUGGUACUUCUCUCAAGAAGACCCACCUGGUUCCUCAAUGCUCGCCGUAGGCUCAGCUUUGGUGAUGAAAGACGAGAAGGACCGCCAGCAAGUCAAGGGCUACGACAAAACCGAGCCGUUGUAGUCACCAACUAGAAGGGAAGAAUACCAACUCGAACCAUUGCACUUAGCUUGAAAUCCUCCUACGACACGUCCUAUGUGAGCACCAAUUGAAGAGGACCACUUGAACCAUUAUCGAAUGGAUUAACGAAUUCUGAGAACACUUCGAUCAUCUCUACAGACCUAUUUGUCUACUUUCGCGUACAUUGAUGGCAAAAGCAAAAGACAACCUCCACUUACUUGAUACCAGUGAACCCUAUCCUACCUCUACUUAACAAUGUGCAUACGUAAAACUAAGGAUGGCAUGGCGUAGCCUAAACAAAAAAACAAAAAACCAGGGAGAAC
rnacentral:rRNA from 1 species